rnacentral:rRNA from 1 species
CCCUUAGAUGCUCUGGGCCGCACGCGCGCUACACUGGUCGAUGCAACGAGUUUCUUUCCUUGGCCGACAGUCCUGGGCAAUCUUUGAACAUCGAUCGUGAUCGGGAUAGAUUCUUGUAAUUUUUGAUCUUAAACGAGGAAUUCCUAGUAAACGCAAGUCAUCAGCUUGCAUUGAUUACGUCCCUGCCCUUUGUACACACCGCCCGUCGCACCUACCGAUUGAAUGGUCCGGUGAAAUCUCCGGACUGGCGUGAGUCGGAGCAAUCUGACAAACGCCGGAAAGUUGAUUAAACCUUACCAUUUAGAGGAAGGUGAANUCGUAACA